UACGUAGGGGGCAAGCGUUGUCCGGAUUUAUUGGGCGUAAAGAGCUCGUAGGCUGUUCGAUAAGUCGGGUGUGAAACCUCCAGCUCAACCUGGAGACGCCACCCGAUAACUGUCAUGACUAGAGUCCGGUAGGGGAGCGUGGAAUUCCUGGUGUAGCGGUGAAAUGCGCAGAUAUCAGGAGGAACACCAAUGGCGAAGGCAGCUCGCUGGGACGGUACUGACGCUGAGAACGCGGAAAGCGUGGGGAGCAAACAGG
rnacentral:rRNA from 1 species